AAGGCAGACCACUACACAUUUGUCAUAAUAAAAUCCUACCAUGCCAUUUUGGUCUAUCCCUCAGAUAUUAUUGCUCGCUAUCACAAAGGAUGCACUGCAAACUAAAGCUGGAUCCCAGGGUGGAAUGACUGGAUCAUGCAUGCCAAUGUAA
rnacentral:lncRNA from 1 species